rnacentral:rRNA from 1 species
AGAUUGAACGCUGGCGGCAGGCCUAACACAUGCAAGUCGAGCGGUAGAGAGGUGCUUGCACCUCUUGAGAGCGGCGGACGGGUGAGUAAUGCCUAGGAAUCUGCCGUAGUGGUGGGGGAUAACGUUCGGAAACGGACGCUAAUACCGCAGUACGUCCUACGGGAGAAAGCGGGGGACCUUCGGGCCUCGCGCCAUUAGAUGAGCCUAGGUCGGAUUAGCUAGUUGGUGAGGUAAUGGCGUCACCAAGGCGACGAUCCGUAACCUGGUCUGAGAGGAU